CGUGUAUUUCCUAAGAAACUGCACGUCACAGCUGGUGAUUUCACAAUCAGCCUGUCGUGUAUAAAAGGCAGGUGUUUCUGUCUGAGAUCAGCAUAUUCCAGCCACCUAAAAGAAUUUAUCCAGCGAAACACUUUCUGCGCACACGAACUCAAAAUGUCCAACAUCAUUGACCUUGCUGUGUCUGUAAAUAAAAGUGAUGAGAAUGGGCUUCGUGCAGAGCACUUCAAGAAAAUUGAUGUUAAUCUGAAUGAAGGAGUCCAAGGAAAUGCCAUCUACCUUUGGUACAAAACGGGCGACUGUGCAGCCAUCACCAGGAUUCAAUUUUCAUUCAAUAAAGAGAUGGCAAAGGGCCUGAUCUCUGCUGGCUUCCACAAGAUUGACAAAAACCUCAACUCUGGAUCGCGUGGAGAUGAGAGCUACCUGUGGUACAAAAAAGACACCACAGACUAUGAUGUUCCCAUCCAGAAGCUUGAUGUCACUACGGAAUGGUCAGAUGAAGCUCAGAAGUUUAAAAAUGGCUGGGAGAAACUGGCCUUUGACCUGAACCAUGGUGCUGGAGGAAAGCCAGUCUACCUGUGGGUGGAGAGAGUGAAGCCAACGUACAUCUGUGACAUUGAUGCCAGGCCUGCCUCUAAUGUAGAUGGUGACUUAUUCAACAAAGGUUACAUCCGAAUGGAUGAAAACAACACAGGGGGAAAAGUCUUCAUCUGGUACCGUCAGACCACUGACCCUAAGCUGGCCAUCAAAGUUCUGGAACUCUCCGUCAACAAGGAUGAGUAUGACAACUAUCAAAAUCAAGACUAUAAACCAGUGGCCCAGGAUCUACAAGAGGGAAGCCAACCUAACGAGGUGUUCCUGUGGUACAAGAAAGAUGACUGCUCCAAAAGCCCCAUCAAGAUCAUCACUGUGAUCAGCAAAAGCGCUAAGGAGCUGUAUCAGAAUGUCGGAAUGGACGUCAUUGAAAAGCCCUUCAUCAGAGGAAGCUGUGCCUGUGAUAGCAGUUACCUGUGUUUCCUCCACUGAGAGUAGUCGUGGUAACAGAGCUGAAAGCAAGGAAUCAAAGUUGUUCCUGUUUAAUGGGUUUGGUGAUGGUUUUUCUUUCCUUUCUGAAAUGAUCUUCAAUCACUAAGAGCUUAGACUCCACCAACGAUCAUUGAUCUCACAAUCAAUCAAUCUGUUUGACUCUGUAUGACUUUGUUCUAAUCAUUCUCUCUGUUUCAAUAAAGUCUCUUGAGCAUCUGAAAUAUCUUUGUGUUGUGUGUCAAAGCUUCAUCUGACACGUGUUAAGAGAAUAAAGUGAAGAGACCAGCUCAACAGGAUCAAUACAUGACGUCAUUUAGCAGAAACCUGGGUUCACUGUCUGGUCAUUUUAAUAACAUCAGAAUUAUUUGUGGUAGUAGUAUUGAUGGGAUUGUUGUAAAGCAGAAAUCUCACUAAAUCCUGUUGUACGGAGAUCAAGAUGAAUUUAAAGAUGUCAUCAGAUUUUAUUACUGUUAUUAUUUUGGUUCCUGAUGACAUUUGCACACGUUGUGCUACAGAAACCAUUCAGCUUGGCGACGCUGAGCUCUUUCAACCUCUUUAGUGCCAAUAUUUGUGAGACUGCUUCACAGUGAAGAAUUUCUCUGUGUAACAAACACCUCACAUAAUAAAAUCAUUUCACAUGCUUAGAAAGAUGACUGCACUUUCCUUUGAACAGUGGUGGGUGUGACUGGGCACAGAUAUUUGAUGGACCCUCACCGACCUGAUGGUCAGAGUUUCUUCUUUGUUCAAUAAUCUGACAUGAGUGGGUUUGCACCCCUCCUCUACAUAAUAAAGCUAAACAUAGCUUCAGGUUUCUCAGAACUCUCUUUCAGUACAGCAGCUGAUAAAUUGUCUUCCAGUUUGAUCCAAAUUCAACAUUUAAGAUGCUCAUUUGUUCUAAUGUGCAAGAAACAUUCAGCCUCUGGUAACAACAGGGUCAC
ensembl:lncRNA